ensembl:rRNA 5S_rRNA 5S ribosomal RNA
AGCCACAGCCAUAUCACCAUGCAGACCAAGAGCGCUUACUCACUGAAGCCAAGCAGGGCUGAGCCUGGUCAAUACCUGGAUGGUAGACCACAUGGGACCACAGGUUGCUGUUGGAA